rnacentral:rRNA from 1 species
AGCGGACAGAUGGGAGUGAUAGAUUAGCGGCGGACGGGUGAGUAACACGUGGGUAACCUGCCUGUAAGACUGGGAUAACUCCGGGAAACCGGGGCUAAUACCGGAUGGUUGUUUGAACCGCAUGGUUCAAACAUAAAAGGUGGCUUCGGCUACCACUUACAGAUGGACCCGCGGCGCAUUAGCUAGUUGGUGAGGUAAUGGCUCACCAAGGCAACGAUGCGUAGCCGACCUGAGAGGGUGAUCGGCCACACUGGGACUGAGACACGGCCCAGACUCCUACGGGAGGCAGCAGUAGGGAAUCUUCCGCAAUGGACGAAAGUCUGACGGAGCAACGCCGCGUGAGUGAUGAAGGUUUUCGGAUCGUAAAGCUCUGUUGUUAGGGAAGAACAAGUACCGUUCGAAUAGGGCGGUACCUUGACGGUACCUAACCAGAAAGCCACGGCUAACUACGUGCCAGCAGCCGCGGUAAUACGUAGGUGGCAAGCGUUGUCCGGAAUUAUUGGGCGUAAAGGGCUCGCAGGCGGUUUCUUAAGUCUGAUGUGAAAGCCCCCGGCUCAACCGGGGAGGGUCAUUGGAAACUGGGGAACUUGAGUGCAGAAGAGGAGAGUGGAAUUCCACGUGUAGCGGUGAAAUGCGUAGAGAUGUGGAGGAACACCAGUGGCGAAGGCGACUCUCUGGUCUGUAACUGACGCUGAGGAGCGAAAGCGUGGGGAGCGAACAGGAUUAGAUACCCUGGUAGUCCACGCCGUAAACGAUGAGUGCUAAGUGUUAGGGGGUUUCCGCCCCUUAGUGCUGCAGCUAACGCAUUAAGCACUCCGCCUGGGGGAGUACGGUCGCAAGACUGAAACUCAAAGGAAUUGACGGGGGGCCCGCACAAACCGGUGGAAGCAUGUGGUUUUAUUUCGAAGCAACGCGAAGAACCUUACCAGGUCUUGACAUCCUCUGACAAUCCUAGAGAUAGGACGUCCCCUUCGGGGGCAGAGUGACAGGUGGUGCAUGGUUGUCGUCAGCUCGUGUCGUGAGAUGUUGGGUUAAGUCCCGCAACGAGCGCAACCCUUGAUCUUAGUUGCCAGCAUUCAGUUGGGCACUCUAAGGUGACUGCCGGUGACAAACCGGAGGAAGGUGGGGAUGACGUCAAAUCAUCAUGCCCCUUAUGACCUGGGCUACACACGUGCUACAAUGGACAGAACAAAGGGCAGCGAAACCGCGAGGUUAAGCCAAUCCCACAAAUCUGUUCUCAGUUCGGAUCGCAGUCUGCAACUCGACUGCGUGAAGCUGGAAUCGCUAGUAAUCGCGGAUCAGCAUGCCGCGGUGAAUACGUUCCCGGGCCUUGUACACACCGCCCGUCACACCACGAGAGUUUGUAACUCCCGAUGUCGGUGAGGUAACCUAUAU